CUUAAUUAAUUUUAAAUCAGACCAACCUUCAUCAUCAAACAGAGUGAUCCAGCAGAACUCAGAGGUUCCCAGUGGUCCACCUGCCCAGCAGCAUCAAACCCAGCUGGACUCCAUAUUUAUGCUGCUGGAGGAAAACAUUGUUAGUUUUGUGAAGAACGAGCUGAAGAAGAUCCAGAAGGUUCUGAAUCAAGAUGAUACAGAAGGCUUGGAGAGUCAGUCGGAGG